UUUAUCGUAAAAUAUGGCUAACCUGUGUUUGUAGAGCGCAACCUUUUGCCAAGAUCGUGGCUGUUUUCAGCCUGUGUUGUAAGCACAUCCAGGUAUCUGGAGAAUGAAAGACCUCAGAUUUCAUAAAUACUCCCUCGUACCAAGAACGAUAGAAGGGGGCGGAGGUCAUGAGGAAGUCUAGAGGAGCACUUUUCCAGGAAGAGGUAGUUAAAUGCGAUUUCAAUACUUAUGAAGCUUCUCUGUGCCUUCCCGGUAGCUUAAAAAAUUGCGUGUUUUUAUGUUGUUUUUUUCCUGCUAUUAUAGAAACCCUGCAAAUGGCUGACUCAUCUAUUGUUAGCUUUGGAGCAUCUGCAUUCCAACCGCGUUCAUCAUAGAGACCUCAAGUUAUGUAACAUAUUCAUCACAAAGGACAACGACAUCAGGUUAGGUAAGAAUGCCCGAACAAUUGCUUGAUUGAGUCGUCUUUGCUUCUUUACUAUCCUUCAAAUUCA